UACGAGAGGCCCAACCGUUAUUCGGAUUUACUGGGCUUAAAGAGUUCGUAGGCGGCUUAGCAAGUGAGGUGUGAAAUCCCUUGGCUCAACCAAGGAAUUGCGCUUCAAACUGCUAGGCUCGAGGGAGAUAGAGGUGAGCGGAACUGAUGGUGGAGCGGUGAAAUGCGUUGAUAUCAUCAGGAACACCAGAGGCGAAGGCGGCUCACUGGGUCUCUUCUGACGCUGAGGAACGAAAGCUAGGGGAGCAAACGGG
rnacentral:rRNA from 1 species